rnacentral:rRNA from 1 species
CACGUAGGCGGUCGUGUAAGUCGGAUGUGAAAGCCCUGGGCUUAACCUGGGAACUGCAUUCGAAACUGCUCGGCUAGAGUAUGGGAGAGGGAAGCGGAAUUUCCGGUGUAGCGGUGAAAUGCGUAGAUAUCGGAAGGAACAUCAAUGGCGAAGGCAGCUUCCUGGCCCAAUACUGACGCUCAGGUGCGAAAGCGUGGGGAUCAAACA